UAGGGAAUCUUCGGCAAUGGACGGAAGUCUGACCGAGCAACGCCGCGUGAGUGAAGAAGGUUUUCGGAUCGUAAAGUUCUGUUGUUAGAGAAGAACGUUGGUAGGAGUGGAAAAUCUACUAAGUGACGGUAACUAACCAGAAAGGGACGGUUAACUACGUGCCAGCAGCCGCGGUAAUACGUAGGUCCCGAGCGUUGUCCGGAUUAAUUGGGCGUAAAGCGAGCGCAGGCGGUUCUUUAAGUCUGAAGUUAAAGGCAGUGGCUUAACCAUUGUACGCUUUGGAAACUGGAGGACUUGAGUGCAGAAGGGGGGAGUGGAAUUCCAUGUGUAGCAGUGAAAUGCGUAGAUAUAUGGAGGAACACCGGUGGCGAAAGCGGCUCUCUGGUCUGUAACUGACGCUGAGGCUCGAAAGCGUGGGGAGCAAACAGG
rnacentral:rRNA from 1 species